CCUAUGUAGGGGGAACAGUCUCUAUUCUACUCUCUGUCAGUGUGUAUCAUGGUCUCUGAGGACAGGUGUCAAUCCAUAUCUGCCAAGUGACCCUAUGUAGGGGGAACAGUCUCUAUUCUGCUCUCUGUGAGUGUGUAUCAUGGUCUCUGAAGACAGGUGUCAAUCCAUAUCUGCCAAGUGACCCUAUGUAGGGGGAACAGUCCCUAUUCUGCUCUGUGUCAGUGUUUAUCAGGGAUCCUUAGUACAGGUGUCAAUCCAUAUCUGCCAAGUGACCCUAUGUAGGGGGAACAGUCC